ensembl:lncRNA
AUGAUCUCCGCAGAGGAAGAAAACCAAUUCAGAAGUGAGGAGACUCAGAUUGACAGCAUGGAGGUUAGGAGUCAGAUGAAUAGCUGUCAAAUUGAAACUCAGAUCAGUGGAGUUCUGAGUGUUUCGGAAAGUGUUGCUCAGAUAACCCGUGUAGGAAAUGGCAGUCAGAUCAGCUGUGUUGAAACUGGAGCACAGCUCUGCUCCUUGGAGAUAAACAUCACAGAAAAUGAGGUUCAGCCAAGCAGUCAGCCAACAGAAGUAAAUAUCACCCAAUCGGAAGACAGAUUUGAGAUGAUAAAUGCUGAACAUGGAGAGCAUGUUAUUAUAGAGGAAACUAUCAUUGAGGAGACAAGCUGUAUAUCCAGUAAGAGUGACACUGUGGAGAGCAGCAGGGUUGAAAGCGUAGGACCGGUUGAUGAGCUGGAAGUCACAGCAGUAGUUGGUGAUGCCGACGACGAAGGUCAAACAAACUGUGAGGAGAGUAGAGGUCAGAUAAACAUUGCUCAGGGUGGUGACCUGACGAGCACAAUCAUAACAACAAGUGUGGUUGAAAUGAAGAGUGCUGAUGAGGCUGAUGACCUGACAAGAAGUGUGGUUGAGAUUAUCAGCACAGAAAUAUCAAUGGCAUCCAGCCCUGUGGAAUUUGAGGUUCCAAUUGUCCACAGGGAGUACAGAGCUCAAACCCCCUUGAUGGAGAGUGAAGGUAUGAUUAGCAGAGAUGUUCAAAUGAUUGACCACGUCUCUACAGGUGACAUAAGCACUGUGGAAACUGUAGUAGUCUCGUUCCCAUCCGUGUCUCAGACAACUGACAGCGAUAAUGCUAACAGCAUGGGAUGCGAGGCUAAGGAAACUGUGAUCCAGGUGAAGAAAGUGGAAGGUCCAGUUCCAAUCAGCAGUGCAGAACAUCGGGGUCUGAUCACCAAUGUUGUACAGAUUAGCAGCGCUGCAAGUGACAAUACGAUCAGCAGUGCCACAGGUGUAGCGGUAAAAGUGCCAGCUAGCACAAUGGCAAGUGCAGUGGAGAUCAUCAGUGAUAUGAGAAGUGGAAGUAUGAUAAGUACUGGAGGUAUGACUAGUGUAGGCAGUGGUGGUUUGAUCAGCAGGACAGAAAGUGGCUAUAUGAUGAAUAAUAUGGUAAGUGGACAGAUGAUAUCUAAUGCAGGGAGUAGACACAUGGUAACUAGUGCAGGAAGUGGACACAUGAUAACUAGUGCAGGAAGUGGACAGAUAUUAACUAGUGCAGGAAGUGGACAGAUGAUAACUAGUGCAGGAAGUGGACAGAUGAUAACUAGUGCAGGAAGUGGACACAUGAUAACUAGUGCAGGAAGUGGACACAUGUUAACUAGUGCAGGAAGUGGACACAUGUUAACUAGUGCAGGAAGUGGACACAUGUUAACUAGUGCAAGUAGUGGAGGAAGUGGAGAAUGGUUGGUUUAUGGUGGAGGUACAGGCAGACUCAGUGGUCCAGGUAGUGGAGGCAGACUCAGUGGUCCAGGUAGUGGAGACAGACUCAGUGGUCCAGGUAGUGGAGGCAGACUCAGUGGCCCAGGUAGUGGAGGCAGACUCAGUGGCCCAGGUAGUGGAGGCAGACUCAGUGGCCCAGGUAGGGAGCAGACUCAGUGGCCCAGGUAG